UACGUAGGGUGCAAGCGUUAUCCGGAAUUAUUGGGCGUAAAGAGCUCGUAGGCGGUUUGUCGCGUCUGCUGUGAAAACCCGAGGCUCAACCUCGGGCCUGCAGUGGGUACGGGCAGACUAGAGUCCGGAAGAGGAGAGUGGAAUUCCUGGUGUAGCGGUGAAAUGCGCAGAUAUCAGGAAGAACACCUAUGGCGAAGGCAGCUCUCUGGGACGGUACUGACGCUGAGACGCGAAAGCGUGGGGAGCGAACAGG
rnacentral:rRNA from 1 species